GCCGGAGUGGCGGAAUUGGCAGACGCACGGGACUUAAAAUCCCGCGACCGGUUACGGUCAUACGGGUUCGAGUCCCGUCUCCGGUA
rnacentral:tRNA from 1 species